GUGGGGAAUCUUGCGCAAUGGGCGAAAGCCUGACGCAGCCAUGCCGCGUGAAUGAUGAAGGUCUUAGGAUUGUAAAAUUCUUUCACCGGGGACGAUAAUGACGGUACCCGGAGAAGAAGCUCCGGCUAACUUCGUGCCAGCAGCCGCGGUAAUACGAAGGGGGCUAGCGUUGCUCGGAAUUACUGGGCGUAAAGGGCGCGUAGGCGGACAGCUUAGUCAGAGGUGAAAGCCCAGGGCUCAACCUUGGAAUUGCCUUUGAUACUGGCUGUCUUGAGUUUGGGAGAGGUGAGUGGAACUCCGAGUGUAGAGGUGAAAGUCGUAGAUAUUCGGAAGAACACCAGUGACGGAGGCGACUCACUGGCCCAAUACUGACGCUGAGGCGCGAAAGCGUGGGGAGCAAACAGGAUUAAAAACCCGAGUAGUCC
rnacentral:rRNA from 1 species